ACAAAGGCUCUUUUCAGAGCCCCCACCUCCUCUGUACAAGGGCUG
rfam:Xenopus tropicalis strain Nigerian Chr03_contig_3081, whole genome shotgun sequence.